UGAGAUGGGAGAUGCUCCUGAUGACCUGGUGGGGCCCAGGUAACCUGCAGGGUCCUCCUAAGGACGGAAAGGCUUGAGGCAGAGACUGGACACUGCUGUGCUGUGGCUGUGAGGAUGGGUUAAGGGGCAGGAACCAAGGGAGACAGAGAUGGACCCCCCAGUGCCUCCCGACAGAGCCUAGAGGGCAACGCUGCCAUUUCAGAACUGUAAAACGACAGAUUUGUGUUGUUUUAAGUCAAUAAUAACAACAACAACAAAGUCAGGCUAAUUCUUUCUUUCAUUCAAUAAACACUGAAUAUGGACCAUGUGCCCACGAUGCUGGGAGUGAGGACACGGCUGUGGAGGACAUUGCCGGGCACCUGCACUUGGGCAAUGCAGCUCACAGCUGCACCGAGACUCACAGAGCCUCCUGCUGAAACAGCAGAGGCCUUCGCGGGCAGGGGCCAGGGGCGGGUGGGUGGAGAGAGCAGCAGGCGCUGGCCGGGCCCUGGGAUGGCCGGGUAGCAGGGAGCAGGCAGACCCUCCCUAAGAAACCCAGCACCCCGCUGUCCUCCCGGCUGCCGGCGCCCCCGCGCGCUGGCCCCCCGCCCACCAUCGGGCGCCCUGCUGGUCACCGGGCCUCUGCGGCCGCCUCAGCGCAUGAGGGUUCCGUGAAGAGGGGUCGCGUGCCCCUCAGCCGGCAUUCCCGGGGCUCGGGACCCCGGACCUCCCAGAGGAAUCACUCUCCUAUGCCAGAGCCUGGCCUCAAGGGAGACGCUGGCGUGAAUCUACCCCGGCCCGCCUUGGAGGGGAUGGGGCUCCGAGCCUGGUCUGGGCUGUCCAACUGGGCAUAAGCGUCACAGCCACUGCCAGGGGAGGGAGAACCUGGCCAGAGGCCCCGCCGUGGGCUGUGGAGCCAGCCCCUCCGCAGCCCUGUCCAUGUGGGGCAGGCCUGGUGGCCCACACAGCCGGUGCUGGAGCCUCGCGAGGAGGGGGUCGGGGGACAACCGCAUCUGUCCCAGUUCCCGUGAGGGCAAGACGGGGCGCUGUCCAGGAAGAAACCCUGUGGAGGGAGGGGAGCGCACCUCAACGUUUCUUCCUUCCACUCUUGCAGGAAAAUCUGGGGGAAACGUUAUUAAGGCAGAAAGAGUGACCCUGUUCCUUUUUUUGGUAACUCCAUUCACUCCACUUCAACCAUAAGAAUCCCAAGCAGGAAACUUACCAAGCAUCACAAACCACCUCGAAAAGCAACACCACACAACCUACAUGCUGGACCGCUGAGGGGACAUACACCCGGCCACUGAGCGGACGCACGCAGGGCCCCUGAGUGACGUGGGGACGCACGCGGGGGCGCUGAGGGACGUGGGGUUGCUGAGGGAUGCACGCAGGGCCGCUGAGGGGCGUACGCGGGACUCGAGUGACGUGAGCACGCACGUAGGACCUGUUAGUGACGUGGGGACGCACGACGGGGCACUGAGGGGACGCACGCGGGGACGCUGGGGGACGUGGGGGCGCCGAGGGACUUGGAGGGCGCCGAGGGACGUGGGGGCGCUGAGGGACGUUGGGGGUGCUGAGGGGACGCCCGCAGGGGCCGCUGAGGGACGUGGGAGUGUUGAGGUAACGCAGGCGGGGGACGCUGAGGGGACUCAUGCGGCGGGUGCUGAAGGACGUGGGGCGCUGAGGGGAUGCAUGCGCGGGGCAGUGAGGGACAUGGGGACGCUGAGGCAGCGCACGCGGGCCACCAUCGGCCAAGGAUGAGACCAUUAGAACAUCUGCAAUGGGUUGAAACGCCUCGAAUGCAGUAAGAUCCAGGAGUUAUAACGAUACUAAAAAUAGCAACAAUGACCCAAGUCACCUUUGGACAUGCUAAAAACCAGCGGUACCUCAGGAUGACCAAAUAGUUGAUGAGAAAAAAUCCCUCUUCAGAAAAGUAUUACAGCUCACAGGUGAAGAAAGGAGACACAGAAUCGGAGCAUCUUCCCUCCGAAGCCCCACAAUGGAAUCACCGGUGCAGGGAGAUGGCCAGGCCUGCGGCACCCGAGAGAGGCCGUCUGACCCGGGUCCUCUGUGCAGGCAGAGCCCCCUCCGGUGUUGUGUUCCCGCCAAAACUGGCCGCGAAUCGCAGAUGAUGAUGCCGGGAUCCGCGCCCUUGCAGGAGAGACGGGGGUGUGGGGAGGAUGCCGGCAGCUCAGGGCACAGUCCAGACCUGGGGACACCACGGGACAAAAGACAAGUCACGAGAGGAAGAAGCGGAGAGAACCAAGGAUUUUUUCCUGGUUGGAAAAAACAGAGUCUUAAAAAUCCUGUGGGAUGCCAGGGAGUCCUGGGCGCUGAUAUCUGGUGGCAUUAAGGAGUCACCAUCAAUUAUUUUAGGCAUAAAUACAGAACUGGGGUUGGGUGGGGUGUUUGGUUCUUAUCUUUGAGAAUACUUUCUGAAGUGUUUAUGGAUAAAAUAAUAUGAUGUCUGGAACUGUUUUAAAAUAGCCCAGUGAGGAAGCGGGUGGGGUGCUGGCCUUGGCAGGAACACGGGGCCAUUGUGCUGGUCUCUCGCGUUGUGUUGGAACUCACUAUAAACAGCACCAGCGAGGGACGGCAGCCUGCCCUGUGCCUGCCCUGAGGUCACUCUCACUGUGAACUCGGCUCCCUCCAGCCCAGCUCUCACAGGGUCACAGGUGGUGGCUUCAGCCAAUGUCCUGUGCAGGCUUCUUCCUGAAGGAACACAGAGUCCUGAGAGUGGGAUUUCCUGUGGUGAUUCUUCGGUCUCAGAGUCCCGAGGGACACGCGUGUUUGAGAAUCUUCUCCAUGUCCAUCUGGAUGAUCUUCGCCUUCAUUCUCCUCUCCUAUUAAAUGGAGGCCAUCAGCACACUUAGACACGCCUGCCAGCUUUAAGAGUUUAGAGCUAAACAAAUGAAGCACACAGUGCACUUCAAAGACUUCGAGAGGAAGGCUCAGUGUGCACAGAGGCCCCAGGAACCCUGAGCUUCCCCAGGAUGCCCAUCCUGAGCCCUCGGGGGCCAUCUAACCCACUCAAACUCCAAACACUAGUCUCUCCCCCAUCACAAGGAAAGACAGGCAUGGUCCCCCACCCAUCAGCGGUGUUGCUGAAUCUGGCAGCCACUGUGUUUGUCAGACCUGCCUGCCUUGUUCAGCAGGGAAACCACUUGCUAUGAUGAAUGGAGCUGCAUGUGAAACUUAGAUAAGCAGGCAGGUCGAAAACACCUCCUGUGCCAGCAUUCCAGUUUUCUUGCUUGGCCCAAGAACCUGGUUUCAUUUUGGAAGGUGGAGGGAGUGUGUGGCGACCUUGUUGCCAUUUUCAGGCAUGGCUGGGCUCUCACACAGUCACUCUUAGAACAGACAUGUCCCUGCCUGGAGGCCAGGCCCUCUUGGGUUGUGGGAACCAAGCCCAAAAAUGUCAAACAAGUGGCAAAACCUUUAGGACACAGACACAGGAAGCAUCAACUCUGAGGCUUUGGCCAGGAUGUGAGCCCGACUUUCGCAGCCCCAACUGGCAGGCUGACCUCAUGUGAACUCCCUGGCGAUGGCAUCCUGGAGACACCCACAUGGCUGAGCUGGCACCAUAGGGUGAGGGCACCAGGGCCAUGGGGACCGUGGUUGCUUGCCUCAGACAUGGCCAGCAAGGGAGGCACAACAUGGGGCUGUUGAGUGAAUGUGUGAGAGGCUGUGGGUCCCCACAGUCCAGCCACCAGCGGCCUCGCAGCAUCAUAGGAGUCUGAGGUCCAAGACACCGGACUCACAUCUCAACCCUGCCCUGUGCUGCUCAGGGCCAAGUCUAAGCUGCUGUGACAAAGAGGCCCCCACAUGCAGCAGCUGCCACAGAACACGGUCAUCUGUUUUUCAUGCACGCUGUAGCCCUGGUCAUUCCAGCCAGAGCCUCCAGGUUUUGUUGCUCUUCCAGGGCACGUUCUGGGCUGUGUGAUGGAGGCUGGACUGUGGGCUCCUCUGAGGAGGUAGAGGGAUGCGCACCAGGGCCCCCGUGUUGAGGCUCGGCUCCCACCCCAUCACCUCUACUCUAGUGAGGCCACUUCCUGCGAAGGUAGCUGGAUGCUCCUGCCUGGAGCUGCCCCCGGACCACAGAGCAUCCAGGAGAUGAAUGCACUUCCAGCCCCGCCACCCUGGGGAGAUAUACAGCUGAGGUGGCAGCUUUGGAGCAAGCAGGGCAGAGAUGCUUCCCCCUGAGGUCCCUCCCAGCUCUGCUACCUUGUCACUCAAGGUAUGGGUUGGUUGUGUUCCCCAAAAAUACAUGUUAAAAUCUGAGUCUUCAGCACCUCAGAAUAUGACAUCAUUUGGAAAUAAGGUCAUUGCAGAUCUAAUUACCAUAGUGACCCCUUAUCCUGGGGAAAAUGUUCCAAGGCCCUGGUGGAUGUCUGAAACCUCAGAUAGUACCUAACCCUAUAUACACUGUGUUUUUUCCCAUGUGUACAGAAAUACGAUAAAGUUUAAUUUAUAAAUGAGGCACAAUAAUAGAUUAAUAACAAUGAUAAAAUAGAACAGUUAUAACAAUAUACUGUAAUAAAAGUUAUGUGAAUGUGGUCUCUCGCUCUCAACAUAUCUUACUAUACUGUAUUUUCCCUUCUUCUUGUGAUGAUGUAAAGUGCUGUAAAAUGCCACGUGGUGAGAUGAAGGGAGGUGAGAGAUGCAGGCAUUGUGAUGUAGAUGGAAAAUUCCAGAAAUAGAAAAUUCCUCAGUGUUCAGUUAUAUUCUGUUCCGAGCCAUCCCAUCCAAGCCUGGGUUGCCAUUGGCCACUUGGCAGUCAUCCUAGUGACCAGAUGGGCUGUGGUGUCACAGUGCUUGUGUUCAGGUCACCCUUCUUUUACUUAAUAAUGCCCCCAAAGCACAAGUGUAGCCAUGUAAUAUUUGUGGAGCGUGGUUGACCGUGAGUGACUAAAACCCAGAAAAGUGAGAUGGAAGACAACGAGGACCACUGUAGUUAGGAUGAAGUCGUGACUGUGUCCUUAUAAGAAGAAGGGUGACACAGGAGCCCAUGUGGUGGUGGAGGCAGAGAUGGAAGCUGUGAAUCCACAAACCCGGGAGCAUCUGGAGCUUCGGAGGCUGAGGAGGCAGGGAGGACCCUCCCAGCUGUUGGGGGAGCACAGCCUUGCUGGCACCUUGAUUUUGGACUUCAGGCCUCCAGAGCUGAGAGAAGAUACAUUUCUGUGGUUUUGAGCUCCCCGGUUUGUGGUACUUUUCCAACUGCCCCAGGACACUGCUGCGCCAAUGCCCUUGACCUUCAAGGUUGCAUUCUGGCUGAUGGAGCUGAUGGGCACCCCGGCUUCACUGCCCUUGGGCUCCCACUCUGACUGGCCUGUGCUGAAAGGUUAAAAAUAGCUCUGCAUAUAUUAAAAUAGCUAUGUCAAUUCUAAAGGCUCACACAGCUGCUCUAAGUGUCUUGGAUACUCUUCAAAAUAAUAUUUAUAGGCCUCUUCAGGCUCUGUCGAACCAGCUUUUUUAACAUUAAUUAAAGCCAAGCUCAUUAGUUUGUUUACAAGUUGGACUUGGCACACUUUAGCACUUAACAGGAGAUGAAAACUGCAGUUUGUUCAAUUUUCUUUUAAUAAUUUUGUUUACAUUUUUGCCAGCACUCAUAAUCCAGGUUCAGUUUCUGCCAGCACUAAUUUGGUUUAUUCCACAUGGCUGGAGCCACUGCGGGACUCCAUUUGUUCCGGGGCCACCUUCCUGUCACCUUUUACUGUUUCUUGAGUCAGCAAGAAAGGCAGAUCCGACUGAAGACUCCAGCACUCUCCUCAGCUGCAGCCCCCACAGAGCUCCGCGAAGUCCUUUCUCCCACAGGACAGAUCUGAGGCACCCACCAUUAGAAGAAAGGAGUGGAGAAAUGAUAUGCAGGAAGAAGGCCCAUUCUGAUUCACCAAUCGCAUGGACGCACUUUCCUACCAGGCUAGGAGGGAGGAAAGUAGAGCCCCACCCUGACUGCUAAGCCGUUUGCUUUGGUGUCAUGAAAAAAGAGUUCAGCUUCCCAAAUCAGAGAGGAAAAGGUUUUCAAGGGGUCCCCUAUUUCUAUUAUGUAAGCUUUAAAUGACAAAGUGGACCUCUGGGGCCAACGUGGGUGUGUGAUGGUGGUUUUGUGGGAUUCUCCCCAUAGCCCCAUCAGACGGCCUCACCUUCUGGGUCUCAGUGGCCCCAGGUGCAACACGGCUCCUCCAGAAAUGAUGACAGCCCUGGCGACCAAGGACUCCCUGUGCCACUGGGUUUGCGCUCAGAAGUAUAUUCAAUGAUUUCCCCAGAAAAUUCCAAGUCAUCUCCUAAUACUGUUUGUGAAAACUAAAUGAACUGUCGUGGUCUUCUUCAGGGACAGUUUGCUAGGAAGGGUGGUUAUUGGCAUAAUUUUCCAAAUCAAUGAACUAAGUUACAAAACUUUCUCAAAGACCCUGAUGGCUGUUACAAAGACAGAAAAGUGAAUGGUCAGAAAGAAGUGUGAUAAUUCACCCAGUAUUGGGAGGACGAGGUGGGCGGAUCACGAGGUCAGGACAUCGAGACCAUCCUGGCUAACACAGUGAAACCCCGUCUCUACUAAAAAAAUACAAAAAAUUAGCCGGGCGUGGUGGUGGGCGCCUGUAGUCCCAGCUUCUCGGGAGGCUGAGGCAGGAGAAUGGCGUGAAACCUGGGAGGUGGAGCUUGCAGUGAGCCAAGAUCACGCCACUGCACUCCAGCCUGGGCGACGGAGCAAGACUCCGUCUCAUAAAAACAGCCUAAGACAACCACACAGCACACAGGCCUUCAUCCUUGGCUGUGACGGAUGCGUGUCCGUGUGGAGGGCCAGGCCUGUUUCUCCCGUCACUAAUGGAAGCCUCUCUGAGUUUCCAUGAAAGUCUCC
rnacentral:lncRNA from 10 species